rnacentral:rRNA from 1 species
UACGUAGGUGGCAAGCGUUGUCCGGAAUUAUUGGGCGUAAAGAGCUCGUAGGUGGUUUGUCGCGUUGUUCGUGAAAACUCACAGCUUAACUGUGGGCGUGCGGGCGAUACGGGCAGACUAGAGUACUGCAGGGGAGACUGGAAUUCCUGGUGUAGCGGUGGAAUGCGCAGAUAUCAGGAGGAACACCGGUGGCGAAGGCGGGUCUCUGGGCAGUAACUGACGCUGAGGAGCGAAAGCGUGGGGAGCGAACAGG